UAUCACAAUAAAGGUUUUCUUUAAUUUCUCUCCCUCUUUCUUAUAUAUAAAGAUGAUCGCUCCCUCUCUCUCACACAUCUAGAAAUCAAAGCAUUCUUCAAGCACGAAAAUCACUCAAAUUUUCAUACAGCAAGCAGCAAAAACGUCGAAGAAAAUAUUUUGCGUGAAUUUUUAGUUUAAAAUAGUGACGCGUUCAACUUUGAAAAGUAAGAAAGAAAGAGAAAAAGGGAAAGAAGAGCGAGAGAAAAAAAGAGGGAGAGUCGGCGGGCUAGAAGAAGAAUUAAGGAAAUCCGUGAUUCUUGGGAUGAUGAAUGUUUUCUCGAUAAAUUGCAUGUCUUGGCUCAGGGCGCACUGUCUAGCUGGGCCAUGCCACUCAAGAUGGCGGCUCUAUUUCCCGAAAGGCAUCGCGGGGCGGUGAUGCGUGACGUCACAUGCCGCUAUGUACAGUCGGUAACAAGCAUUGUUUCAAUACCGAUUAUCCUACACCAAGCAAAAUAUAAACAAAUUAUUAAACG